CGUAACGGUGGGUCCCUUCAAUGGUACCGUAAAGGUGGUCCCUUCAAUGGUACCGUAACAGGUGGGUCCCUUCAAUGGUACCGUAACGGUGGGUCCCUUCAAUGGUACCGUAACGGUGGGUCCCUUCAAUGGUACCGUAACGGUGGGUCCCUUCAAUGGUACCGUAACGGUGGGUCCCUUCAAUGGUACCGUAACGGUGGUCCCUUAGUACCGUAACGUGGGUCCUUCAAUGUACCGUAACGGUGGUCCCUUCAAGGUACCGUAACGGUGGGUCCUCACAAUGGUACCGAACGGUGGGUCCCUUCAAUGGUACCGAACGGUGGUCACCUUCAAUGGUACCGUAACGGUGGGUCCCUUCAAUGGUACCGUAACGGUGGGUCCCUUCAAUAGCGCCGUAACGGUCCGUCCCUUCAAUAGCGCCGUAACGGUCCGUCCCUUCAAUAGCGCCGUAACGGUCCGUCCCUUCAAUAGCGCCGUAACGGUCCGUCCCUUCAAUAGCGCCGUACGUACCCUCAAUAGCGCCGUAAGUCCGUCCCCUUCAUAGCGCCGUAACGGUGGGUCCUUCAAUAGCGCGUAACGGUCCGUCCCUUCAAUAGCACCGUACGGUGGGUCCCUUCAAUAGCAUCGUAACGGUCCGGCCUCAAUAGCACCGUAACGGUCCGUCCCUUCAAUAGUACCGUAACGGUGGGUCCCUUCAAUAGCACCGUAACGGUCCGUCCCCAAUAGCCCGUAACGGUCCGUCCCUUCAAUAGCACCGUAACGGUCCGUCCCUUCAAUAGCACCGUACGUUGGGUCCCUUCAAUAGCACCGUAACGGUGGGUCCCUUCAAUAGUACCGUAACGGUCCGUCCCUUCAAUAGCACCGUAACGGUGGGUCCCUUCAAUAGCACCGUAACGGUGGGUCCCUCAAUAGCAGUAACUGUGGGUCCCUUCAAUAGCACCGUAACGGUGGUCCCUUCAAUAGCACCGUAACGGUGGGUCCCUUCAAUAGCGCCGUAACGGUGGGUCCCUUCAAUAGCACCGUAACGGUGGGUCCACUUCAAUAGUACCGUAACGGUGGGUCCCUUCAAUAGUACCGUAACGGUGGGUCCCUUCAAUAGUACCGUAACGGUGGGUCCCUUCAAUAGGCUGUAGCCUAAGUAUCCAACCUAACAUGCAAAUCAGCUUUAAUAUGAACCUUUGCACUUUUGAUUUACUCUGGCCCUUGUUUUUCCAAAUUGUUUUUUUGAAGGUUCAUUUGAUAUUUUGUCUCUGUAGACAGACAGGUUCAUGGACACGAAUUGUCCUUCAUUUGGAUUAUAGGUAGACUACAUGUAAAAGAAUGCCACUACUGCUUACUCCUUUAGUUACUGCAAGGACAUACGUAGCCUAGCCGUCACUGUGAAAACAAAACCUGUGUGUUUGGUCCAUUGACAUAUGGUUUGGUCACUGUGAACAACCAUUCAGGUGUGCAGGCCAGCUGUACCAUAUGGCUGCUAUUAGAUAAGGCAUUAUGUUAUGAAUUGAAGCACAUAGCAGUGGUCUGGGUCUUUUGGUCAAGAGAAACCUGUUCCUAUAAUAUAUAUUGUAUGUAUUGGCACAUGUAGUUGGCGAUCCAUGUCACAUGGUGUGUGUGUGUAUAUGAGCUGUUUUUCUCUGUCAAUCGGAUCCUAUUGUUGUCUUGUUAAAAAGAAAUGACUCUUACAUGCAUCCAUUUGUUUUGCUGAGAUGUGUUGAUGAUUUUUGUUUGACGAGUUUCAUAAGUAAUGACAGAUUUACAAACAGUUCUAAUUCUAAAAUCAAGUUACAAGGGACCUUUUUUACUUCAUAAAUCCUACGUAUCGCUUUAAAUAGCUUUAGCAUUAUAGAACAUUUAUUUGUAUUUAUUUGGGUUGUCUAAAAUGAAAAUGUAAAUAUUUUUUGUAUUUUAAUUUAAAGUAAAAUUAACUAAAUUAUUUCAAAGGAGGGUUAAUCAAAGGGCACUGUGUCUCUUCCAAGGUGCUGUAGUUUCAGGGUGACAUGUCCAGCCACAAGGGGGCAGUGUUGACCAGAGCCUGGCUCUACUGAACUACUACUGAGGGACUGUCCUAAACCUCUUCUGUAGCUCAUCAUCCACUCACUGUGCAACAUUCGCUACUAUAUAUUUGAUAUUUAUCCAUAGAAAAAGGAUUUUAGAAAAUAUUUGAAAAGUUAUUUCAUAACUAUUAUAUAUCAAAUAUAUAUUCUUUCUUUUUUUGUCAUCUAGCUGGGCUAGAAUUGUACAUUUAUUAAGUUAUUUACAUUGGAAUCACGGUAGUUAGUGGUUUGGUGGAUAAGUGUACAUGUAAAAAAUGAACCAAAAUAAUGAUCUUAUUUUUCUUUGGUGUGUUUUAAGGCUUUAAAUACUUUGGUAUUUAAAAAAAAUAAAAAUUAUGGUAUGGCAUAAGAUUAUAAAUAGUAUGACAUUUAAAAAAAAAUUAUAUCACUCAACUGCAUGUAUGCAAUGCAGUGGGCUGUCUUGAAGUGGGAACUUUAUAGAGGGAAAAGGACAUUGUACUAAUGAACAGUGUUUCAAAAGAAGAAUUGAUGUAUUUUGUUUGUCUGGAAAAUAAGGUAAAAGCUUUGGUGUGUAAGUCUUGUAUUGGAUUGUUUUGUGUGAGAACGAGUUGAAUCAACUCGUAUCAUUAAAUCAGAGUUUAAGGGAGGGUGUCAUAGGAGGUUGGUGGGAACCUUAAUUGGGGAGGACUGGCUCGUGAUAAUGGCUGGAGCAGAAUCAAUGGAAUGGUAUCAAAUAUAUCAAACACAUGGUUUCCAUGCCAUUCCAUUUGUUCCGUUCCAGAGAUUAUGAGCCGUUCUCCCCUUUAGUUUUUAUAAAUCAAUACUGUUUGUAUUGUUUGUAUUUGCAGAUUUUGCUUGUCUUGUGAAUUGUUGAAAAUCUCUGUGAAGAAAUGUUUAUUUAAAAAAAAUGUAAGGGCUUUAAGGUUUUCAAAUCCUUUAUAUAGAAAAUAUAAUACUGUUAAUGUUUGUCACACAUGUUCAAUAAAGUUUCUAAGUUCACAAUUUCUUGUGGUGAGGAUGUCUUGGUAUUGCUGGGUGGGCUAAAUCUGACUGUUACAUGAUUUAACAAAUUUUGCAGAGAUGAAUAUAAGGAUUUGUUAUAAGGAAUAGAUCUCUAUAUGAUUAUUUAAUUACGUCAUGGUGACUUGAUUUAAUAGAGAUUGUUGCACAUUUUCAGUUGGUCUUUUAAACGGUCUUUUCCUGCCAAUAGUUACUGUUCAGUAUUGGAACAGCAGAUGGGUGUGUGUCAGUGGUAGUUCCAGUGAGUGCUGUGUGAGCUGUAGUGGCUGUCAGUCCACGACAAUCCAUGACAGACAAUGACUGUCAGGAUUGGUAUCCGCAAGGUGAAUAUUAUGGCAGCAUCAUUCUACCAUGUAAAUGCAAUGCACACACACACAUUUGAUGGUUCCUUUAGCUUAGCAGGUGCCUCUGACUGAAACGUUGACAUGAUAUUCAUAAAAGAAGCUUCUACACACUCCUUGCAAUUAAUCACUUUUAUGUGAUCGUUUCAGCCUAAAUUCCUUGUUCAGCGAGAGAAAGACGGAGUGACGGAGAGAGAAAGACAGUGACGGAGAGAGAAAGACAGUGACGGAGAGAGAAAGACGGAGAGAAAGACGGAGUGACGGAGAGAGAAAGACUGAGUGACGGAGAGAGAAAGACUGAGUGACGGAGAGAGAAAAGACUGGAGCAAAGACGGAGUGACGGGAGAGAGAAAACAGGAGUGACGAGAGAGAAAAGACGGAGG
ensembl:lncRNA